rnacentral:rRNA from 1 species
GACGAACGCUGGCGGCGUGCUUAACACAUGCAAGUCGAACGGAAAGGCCCUGCUUUUGUGGGGUGCUCGAGUGGCGAACGGGUGAGUAACACGUGAGUAACCUGCCCUUGACUUUGGGAUAACUUCAGGAAACUGGGGCUAAUACCGGAUAGGAGCUCCUGCUGCAUGGUGGGGGUUGGAAAGUUUCGGCGGUUGGGGAUGGACUCGCGGCUUAUCAGCUUGUUGGUGGGGUAGUGGCUUACCAAGGCUUUGACGGGUAGCCGGCCUGAGAGGGUGACCGGCCAAAUUGGGAAUGGGAUAAGGCCCAGACUCCUACGGGAGGCAGGAGGGGGGAAUAUUGCACAAUGGGCGGAAGCCUGAUGCAGCAACGCCGCGUGCGGGAUGACGGCCUUCGGGUUGUAAACCGCUUUCGCCUGUGACGAAGCGUGAGUGACGGUAAUGGGUAAAGAAGCACCGGCUAACUACGUG